CAAGACUAAUGGUCUGAUUCUGGCAACUACAUCCAGCUAAGAGUGUCACAGUGAGACGGUCAGUGAGAUCACCCCUGGUUAUUUUUGACAUUGUAUUCAGUUACACUAUGAGCUAAUACACAGCAGUAUUGAUUGUAGACUGUGUUGCAUGCUGCUAUGUUAGGUUGUGGCCAUUUCUGGGAUGGCCAUAAUAUAUCAUUACUGGGUUUUCAUUUUCUCAUAACCCUGUGCUAUUUUUAACGUGGG